UACGUAGGUGACCAGCGUUGUCCGGAUUUACUGGGCGUAAAGAGCGCGCAGGCGGUCGUUCAAGUCGAGUGUGAAAGCCCCCGGCUCAACUGGGGAGGGUCAUUCGAUACUGAUCGACUCGAAGGCAGGAGAGGGAAGUGGAAUUCCCGGUGUAGUGGUGAAAUGCGUAGAUAUCGGGAGGAACACCAGUGGCGAAGGCGACUUCCUGGCCUGUUCUUGACGCUGAGGCGCGAAAGCCAGGGGAGCAAACGGG
rnacentral:rRNA from 1 species